CCGCUCUGGACAGCUUCACGCCUGCUGUGGAUGUGGUGCCGUCCUCCUCCGUCUGCUCCCCGUCUCUCUCCACCGUGGACUCCGUCCCAGAGUAGCUCAGCUGCACUGAGGCCGCCAUGGCGCAGAUCUCGUCCAGCAGGAAGGAGAAACAGGACAAAAGUUUACCAAGGCUGAACAUCAUCCAGAGUUUUAACCAACGGACCUGGGGUUCACUUAAUGUUCCACAGACUAUCACCUACUCUUAUCUGCUGGAUGAGAGAGAGCCCGUCUUUCCUCAUUGUGUUCUGUCUUUUUAGAUCGGCAUCAAGUCUGGGCUUGGGCUGAGGUGGAACUUUGGUGUUGGCCGGAGGCUGCUGAAGCGACUGGGGCAGAGCGUCUCCAGAGUCUUUAGACGGCAGGUUGCACAUCUCACACUCGGCACUGGGUUUAGUGUUUAGGAAGGUGCAGAAAUGGCAAGUCCACUGGGAUGACACAGAUGAACACGAAUGGUCAGUGGGACGAGGAGACAGCAAGUAGCUUAAGAAGCUGUAAAGGCAGGAGAUCACAAACGUUUGUUCCAGAGUCAGGGUCAGAUCCAGGACUGGCGAGAACGGCUGCAGGCGGGCGAGUGGCCAGACGGGGGCGCUCACACACCUCACACAGUAUGCUGCUGCCCUGAUUCAUGACGGUGCAGCUCCUGCACUGCCACUCUGAGGGAACCAGCAGCCACACGUCAGCCUCAUGCAGUGACUUGUAAUACCAGGUCUGACGUAGAAGGACUUUAACUUCCCAACCUGUGUUCAGUGACGAGGGGUUCUCCUGAACAGUGGACGCAGCGGUGGCGAGUCGGGGCCGUUCGCAGGUGGAGCAGAGAACAGCCCGCAUCUCGUUCACUGUGGUGCAGUGAGCACAUUCCCAGGGCGACAGAGAAGGGCUGCAAAACAACACAGCACUCACAGCUACACGAACAAGUAUCUCCUCGUUCUCAUUAAGCUGCUGGUUUUGCAGAACAAAUCACUGAUUCUAUGCAUCUUUGCUGCUUCUUGCAGAAAACUGAUGCGGUGUCAUGUGAGGUGAGCAGGACGCUGUAAUGUCUGGAAGUUACUUCCGGUCGGCCUCACCUGGACGUCUUUGCCGGUGUGAUAACGGAUCUGUUGUGAGCUCUGCGGUCAGGGUGAGAGUGGAAGAGUCUGUCACAGUUCAGACACAGCCCCUGGGAGCAGCUGGAGCACUGAGCGUGGACAGCAGAGAUACCACAGAUGCUGCAGGGAUCUAGAUGAGAAUGAAACCUUGAGACUUUAAACCAGACAGAAAGUCAGCGUUGGGUGGUUUUCUUGCAUUUCACCCUGCUCCACUGCUGCGUACCCUGCUUGGCUUUUGGGGUCUUGUCUCUUUUGUGGCUGCUUCUCGAGGGGUGGCGGUGGCACAGGUCAUCGCAGGCAUCGCAGAAGGAUUGGUUGUCACAGGACGAACAAAUCACGGUCGACACGCUGCCACACAGAUGACACUGACCCACGGUCGAAGAGUCUGGACACGAAACAGACCGAGUCUAUUCAGCUUUGGAGUAAACUAUGAAUAGUCAAUAAAUAAAACUGGAGUACGGCCCAAUAAGGCAGGACUGAGUUUAACAUCACGUUUGCUGCUCUGUACUUUAAUGUUAAUCUUCACUUCUACAACCAACUUCUGAACUAAAUGCUGACCUGUUACAGUUUUUCUCAGUCGCUUUAGUGCAAUUCUCAGAUCAGAAUAAAAUUCUCAAAACUAUUUGUUCAAUCUUCACAUCAUGAUGUCACGUGUGCACAUCAUAUAAGCAGUUUCUCACUACUUUGAACAAGUUGCAAAUGCUUUGGUACAUCCAUUUAUAUGUUUAUGUACAAUUCCCAGCUCUUUAUCAAUUACUACAUUAUCAAUUGCUUAUGUCAUCUUGAUCAAAAUGUAUUAUAUAGUUCACUGUGCAAUAGUCUUACUCCUUAAAACAUCUAGUCAGUAGUUCAUCGUAUAAGUCAUUAACUGCAAAAUGGUUGACCAAGUUAUCAUAAAGUGACAAACAUAUUUCUAUACAUCUCCAUUAUAUGUUUUUUUCAAAAUCUGUCCUGAAUUGGUAAAUUGCUCUCAGGUGACUUGACUUCCUCUAACAAAGGUGCAUCUCAUUGACAAUCAAUGGGCAAGUAUAUAUAUGGCUGAAGCACAACACAAUGUUCUAUGUCUGACAAUGCAAGGACAAGGAAUUGGACGGGGUCAACAGCCAGAGAGAAGAAGAGGAAGAGCAGUGAGGCUGCGUGGUGGAGGAGUUAGUGGGCAAAACCGAGGAAGAGGCCGAAGACAUGUAUGUGUUCCUGAUGAGAUAAGAGCCACACUUGUAGACCAUGUUGUCCACCAUGGGCUUACACUGAAUGAGGCUGGUAGAAGGGUGCAGCCAAAUGUUGGGAGAACAACUGUGUUCUCAAUCAGUCAGACCUUUCGUCGAGAGAACAGGACUGCAAGACAACUUCACAGGGGCGGCAAAGGGGCCCUUUUCACUGCUCAACAGAAGGAGGCUAUUUGCACCACGGUCGUAGAAAACAAUGCGAUAAGACUAAGGGAGAUAAAGGGAGUGCCAUUAUAGAGGACAACAACAUAUUUGUCAAUGGUUGAGAUGCUGACUGUUUGGAUAUUUGCAGAGUGCUCAAAAGACCCCAGAUGAAAAUGAAGCAGCCUUACACUGUUCCAUUUGAAAGAAAUGGUGAAAGAGUGAAGGAACUACACUACCAGUUUGUACAGCGUAUGAUAUACGUAUAACUUGAAGCAAGUGAAGAGCCGCACAGCUUCAUCUACAUGGAUGAGGCUGGCUUCAACCUAACAAAAUGCAGAAGGCGUGGCCGAAAUAUCAUCGGCUACAGGGCUACAGUUGAUGUGCCAGGCCAACAGGGCGGGAACAUAACCAUGGGUGCUGCCAUCUCUGACAAUGGUGUGCUUACUCAUAUUCCCAUAACCUUUCUAGAAACUCUCUACAGAGAUCUCAUCCCUGAAGAAGAGAGGGGUCAGAGUGGAGAUCACCUGCCAACGUAUGUGAUAGUUUGGGACAAUGUGAGUUUUCAUCACUCAAACAUCAUCAGGCAAUGGUUUGCAGCCCACAACAGGAUGCGGAUGGAGUUCAUUUCACCCUACUCUCCAUUCCUUAACCCUAUUGAGGAUUUUUUCUCAGCAUGGAGAUGGAAAGUGUAGAUCGCCAGCCACAUACACAAAUGACCCUCCUGGCUGCCAUGGAUGCUGCAUGUGAUGACAUCACAGCAGAGGCUGGAUAAUACACGCUUAAAGAUUCUUUCCACACUGCAUUGCAAGAGAGGAUAUUCGCUGUGAUGUGGAUGAGAAUUUGUGGAACAUACAGGAACGACAAGAGAUGUAGGAAGACCACACCAAUUCCUACAGCACUGCCUGUACUGUUAUAAAGAACAUUGUCCUAUCUUUUUUUUCCCUUUGUUACUGUUUGCAGUGGUUUUUUUCUAUGUUGGUAUGACACGGUCUGUCAACAAAUUACAAUAUAAACACAAAGUGUAAACGUGAAUCUUGUCCAGUCUCUUG